rnacentral:rRNA from 1 species
CGCGUAGGCGGCCAGAUAAGUCCGGUGUGAAAGUCACAGGCUCAACCUGUGAAUGCCGCUGGAAACUGUCUGGCUAGAGUCCGGAAGGGGCGAGUGGAAUUCCUGGUGUAGCGGUGAAAUGCGCAGAUAUCAGGAGGAACACCAAUGGCGAAGGCAGCUCGCUGGAACGGUACUGAGCUGUGGCGCGAAAGCGUGGGGAAGCAAACAG